ACGAACUAAUAUAUUUUACCAUGCUGUCUUAUAAUUUUUCAAAUGCUAUCUGCUAAUAGUAGAAAGAAAGAAAGAGAAAGAAGGUAUCAACGCUGUUGAGCAUGAGAAUUAUUUUAAACAAAAAAAAUGAUAUCUCAUUAACUAUUAAUCGUAGAGAAGCCUAUAAGGGGUCAUUUUGUUCGUAAAGCGAUUUUCUAAAAAUUGUACGCAUUAUGUCUAGAUCUCGGAUUCAUAGUUUUCGAGAUAUUCUACUAUUAAGUUAAAACAACGUGCAUUCUGCUAUUAACAUAAGAAAGAAUCGAAGGUCGGAAAAGAUCGGGCAUCUUCGAAGUUUUUCGAAGCAGGUUUGAAUACGUUUAUUGUUCCUCAGUGCGUAAUUGACUGUGUUAUCAAUAGAGAGUGAUACAUUAUACAGUGACACAUAAAAGUGCGUCAUUUUGUAACGACUAAAAUGGAUUUACAAGGGCAUUUUGAACGUCCAGAAAUUAUCAACAACCCUAUAUACCAACUUUUAUUAAAUUCAGCUGAUGGCAAAAGUGUUUUAAAAUAUUA